AAGGAAUAUUGGUCAAUGGACGCAAGUCUGAACCAGCCAUGCCGCGUGAAGGCUGAAGGUCCUCUGGAUUGUAAACUUCUUUUAUCUGGGACGAAAACGGGAUUUUUAUCUCAAUUGACGGUACCAGAGGAAUAAGCACCGGCUAACUCCGUGCCAGCAGCCGCGGUAAUACGGAGGGUGCGAGCGUUAUCCGGAUUUACUGGGUUUAAAGGGUGCGUAGGUGGGCUUAUAAGUCAGUGGUGAAAUCGCCGAGCUUAACUUGGAAACUGCCGUUGAUACUAUAGGUCUUGAAUUAUCUGGAGGUAAGCGGAAUAUGUCAUGUAGCGGUGAAAAGCUUAGAUAUGACAUAGAACACCAAUUGCGAAGGCAGCUUACUACAUAUAAAUUGACGCUGAGGCACGAAAGCGUGGGGAUCAAACA
rnacentral:rRNA from 1 species